rnacentral:rRNA from 1 species
UACGAAGGGGGCUAGCGUUGUUCGGAAUUACUGGGCGUAAAGCGCACGUAGGCGGAUAUUUAAGUCAGGGGUGAAAUCCCGGGGCUCAACCCCGGAACUGCCUUUGAUACUGGGUAUCUCGAGUCCGAGAGAGGUGAGUGGAAUUCCGAGUGUAGAGGUGAAAUUCGUAGAUAUUCGGAGGAACACCAGUGGCGAAGGCGGCUCACGUGCUCGGUACUGACGCUGAGGUGCGAAAGCGUGGGGAGCAAACAGGG